AAUUUGUUUGAACUGAUGAAUUAAUUAAAUGUUACAGGUGAAUACGAGUACAUAGAUGUGAUAAUCGGAGAAGAAAGGUUAAUAAUCGAUGUAGAUUUCCGAUCAGAGUUCGAUAUAGCGAGACAAACGAGUGGUUACAAGGUGUUGCUUCAAUCUCUACCGUUCAUUUUCGUCGGAAAAUCUGAUCGGUUAAGUCAGAUCGUGUUUUUGAUAUCGGAGGCGGCGAAACAGAGUUUGAAGAAGAAAGGAAUGCC
rnacentral:sRNA from 1 species